GGUCACAGCGGGAACUGGGCAAGGCUGUGGACAGGGAGAGACCGUGCCCUUUGACCUUGCCGGACGGCCGGUUCAGCCAUGCCCAGCCAGCGUAGGAGACCCGAGGUCGCCGCCUUACCUCCAGGGGCCCUCAGAUGAAGAAACCGGGAUGCUAAGACAGCCAAGGCCUGCAGUAACAAAUUACCACCGACAGGCUUAACGACCCCGACCCCGGAUGUGUGCUCCCUCACAGCUCCGGAAGCCAGCAGCCCAAAAUGCAAGCGCCAAAGGGGCCACGUUCCCUCUGAAGGAUCUGAGAGAUCCUUCCCUGCCUCUUCCAACCUCCAGGGGCUCCUGGUGUUCCUUGGCUCAUGAAUACAUAACUCCAGCCUCUG